CCAUUCGGACAAUUUCAUUCCGUGGUGCAGAAAACCUGCCGAGCAAUUUGACUGCGAUGUUAAUACGCAAGGGCGCAAAAAUUUCCUGAGCUCCAGGGAGCGAUGGCCGGAUGCGAAAAUUCCUUACGAAAUCUCAGCUACUUACACACCGGAGCAACGAGAGAUAAUCGCGUUUGGUAUGAAAGCGUUUCAUAACAAAACCUGCAUCCGUUUCGUUCGUCGAACCACUGAAGAAAAUUACAUCAGAAUCAAAAAGACGGGAAAAGGCUGCUGGAGUGACAUAGGAAUGACCGGCCUCAA